UUAACACCUAUGUCUAUGUAGGUAAUGAUUAAACACAUAAUUGAAGUUAACUACAAAACCUGAAAUCUGGAGGAACCAUCUUUCUUCUCAUUGAUUUAAAACACAAUUUUUGUUCGUUAAUUUAGAUACUUUUCACAUUCAAACAAACUGAUUUUCCAAUUCUGUACUAGUUAAUUAAAACUUUUCAUUACGACACUUUCCACAAUCCUCCUCUGGUUCGAUAUCCGACUUAUCCUAUCUACAUAGUUUAGUUGGUUUUUGCAUGUCCUUAACGACAGACAUCAGGUACCAUGAAGCGAGUUGGGAUCUUUUGUAGCUGUUUGAGAGGAGCUUUAGGGUUGAGAAAUCUAUACAUUGAACCACGGUAAGUUCCGGUAAGGGCUGCCAAAUCAAAUCGAGAAUGUGAAGACAACAAUAAGUGUUUUGGGUUAGGUUUCGAAUCUGAAUCGAGAUGUAUGAAUGGGGGGUCCAUAAGUAAAGCUUGGUGUUCUAUCAAGGAUUGCAAUAUGAUAUACAAUGGUGGCUAGAGGUGGCCGGUGAAGGCGGUUUGUAGCGGUUUAGGCUAAAAUGAACCCGAAGAAGCGUUGAAAAGCUAAAUAUCGAUUUACACGGAUUUUGUAACCACAACCCAAUGAAAAUGGUGAAGACAUGGUCUGAAAAGGAAAUGAGGAAUCUUAUCUGGAGAAGUAUAUCUAACUGAUGGGACUGCAACUUACAACUGGGGUCAUGACUUGGCUAAUUUUAGAUUGAUUCAACAAAUUGAUAGUAGAAUUGUUGUGGAUGAUAUGAGAAGUUUUCCUUUCAGCAGUGGAACUUGAAAGGUAUGAGGAAUAGUGACGUAUUUUUAGGAGCACAAUUAGAACUAGGGAUGAGUAUAUGGUACCAGGUACCCAUUUUUCCAACUUUUUAGGACCGAGAUUGGUACACGUUACAUGUUUAGGGAUGAGUAUAUGGUACCAGGUACCCAUUGUUCAGAGAGUGAUGUGUUCGUGCUCGCAAUUUCGGGGUUGUUUUACGCAGAUGUUGCAGGUAAAAGAAUAGGUUCAGGGAAGACUAAAAUAGUGGUUCCUGAUGAUUCUGCAUCCGCUGGUUCUGAACCGGGAAAUUAUAUUUCGAGAUAUGUAUCGAAGAAGACCCACAUGGCGUAUUCAUGUUUCUGCUAGAAUGAUACAACAUAGUACGAUACAGUACCCUUUGCAUAUGGAAUAAGUGCUUGUAAUGGGGGUUUAGAUUGGUUGUAUUUUUUUUUGUUUUGUUAGAUUGAUUUUGAUAUAUUUAUGCAAAAAGGAGCUCUGAAGAGAGUGAAAA